AGACAGAGGGUGCAAACGUUGCUCGGAAUCACUGGGCGUAAAGGGCGUGUAGGCGGGCAUGCAAGUCAGGCGUGAAAUCCCUGGGCUCAACCCAGGAAUUGCACUUGAAACUGCAUGUCUUGAGUAUCGGAGAGGAAAGCGGAAUUCCUGGUGUAGAGGUGAAAUUCGUAGAUAUCAGGAGGAACACCGGUGGCGAAGGCGGCUUUCUGGACGAUAACUGACGCUGAGACGCGAAAGCGUGGGGAGCAAACAG
rnacentral:rRNA from 1 species